GAUGAACGCUGACAGAAUGCUUAACACAUGCAAGUCUUUGGCGAAGCUGUGCUUGCACCGCCUAGCCAAGGCGGACGGGUGAGUAACGCGUAAGGAACUUGCCCUGCAGUCAGGGAUAACAGACGGAAACGACUGAUAAGACCUGGUAAAGUCAGGCGGACUCAUGUCCAGCCUGAUGAAAAGAGAUGCUGCAGGAGAGCCUUGCGUCCUAUUAGCUUGUUGGUGGGGUAACGGCCCACCAAGGCGAUGAUAGGUAGCCGGCCUGAGAGGGUGGACGGCCACAAGGGGACUGAGAUACGGCCCUUACUCCUACGAGAGGCAGCAGUGGGGAAUAUUGGACAAUGGGGGCAACCCUGAUCCAGCAAUUCUGUGUGCACGAUGAAGGUUUUCGGAUUGUAAAGUGCUUUCAGCAGGGAAGAAAAAAAUGACGGUACCUGCAGAAGAAGCGACGGCUAAAUACGUG
rnacentral:rRNA from 1 species